ACUGGAGCCAGAGGCUGGCUCGCGGGUCCCAGCGCCCAUCCGCCGGCUGCCUGAGGUUCCCGCUCCAGGCGCCUUGCCACCUCCCUCGGGCCCGCCCCGCCGCGCUGGGACCUUUCCUCGCUCUUUAAAGCCGUGUUCGCCUGUGCACGUCUAUCCCUGCAUCUUGAAUGUUUCCUUGAGCCGGGGAGACUGGGAAACCUCCCCGUGGAGCCAGCCAGCUCUGACCUCCGGGCCUCAAGCAGCCAUCCCCGUGCUCUUAACCCCGCGCUUGGUUCCCGGAGAGAACCGUCCCUACCUUGUUCUCGGACACAGCUCCUCUCCUGCUGGCUAGUCUCCUCGCGCUUCCGCCAGAAUCCGCAUUCCUCCAAGCGCGUGGCUCAGCCUGAUAGAACCGGCCUUAAUAAAGUCCCAGCCUUGAAAGGGGCGGGAAGAGAGGUCAGACUCACCGCUGUGGUCCCACACGCAGCAACUGAGACUCCAAGUUCCCCCAAGCCAGAGAUCUCCUAUCCCAGCCAAGCACCUGGCACAUAGGAAGGCUUUGAAAAAUCAUUGAACAAAUGAGAGCCUGGGCCAGCCCUGGGAUUGCAGCUCCACCGCAGUCCCGACAGACACAUCUCACUGAUGCUGACUCAGUUGUCAGGAACACAUGCUGACAAGGGGUCUGCGAGAUUCCUUCUCAUACCUCGUUUGCCAGCUGCUGCAAUGCCAUCUUGAACGGCCCGCCUCCAAACAUGUUUGGCAUUGGUGUCUGCUCCAGUCUGGAAGAGAAAUGGAGCUCUCAAGACUCACUCAACUCAGUCUAAGACCAGCAGAGUCUGAAGAGAAGGAGAGAGAUAGGAUGUUUCAACAGGCCUGGCCAGGAGGCCUCCCACUCACCUCCCCAUCACCUCCACCAAUCCAACCGUUCCAAGAUCUCAAAGCACAAGUGGGGCUGUCCCUGUCUACCAAGCCCAAGGUAGGCACCCCCAGUCUCAUUGCACCUACCACACUGCAGCCAAAUUGUCAGUCUCUUUUGCUAACUGUUGAGUUCCUAGAGGAAAGGGACUGUCUGUAUGCCCAUCACUGGGCACAAAGUCUUGAACAUGGUAGAUAGUUAAAUAUUUAAAUGAAUGAAUAUAAUUCCUCUUCCUACUCUGCAAGAAAAUCGGCCAGAGGUAAGCUCUGCUGUUAUAGACCCGGACCCACAGCCAGCAGCCUUUAUUUGCCUUAGUUAUCUUGCCAGGGCAGGUGGAGAAUUUAGACAGUUCUUUUCCAGCUUGUGAGCUCUAACUUCAGGCCUGGACUUUGGACUGUUCCAGCUACCUAACCUAGCUUUUGUCUGCUGGCCCUUACUUGCCAUAAUGGAUAGAUCCUCUUCUGAUGUCUAACCCACUGUCCUUCCCGCAGCCCCCAUGGCGGCUUCUCAGCCCAGCUUCAGGACAAGAAGCUUAGCUUCCUCACACUCAAAGUGGGAAAAUGCCAGGUCUUCCAGCCUGAGUCUGGCAAGGGAGCAGGGCCAGGAAUUGCUUACCGGCUGACAGCAGCUGCGAGGAUGCCAAUGCUUGUUUCCUUUGGAGGAGCUGAAGAAUGGCCUGGAGUCAUGUUUACUUGCAGCAUGAGGUCAAUUGCACCCUUCUCGGAGACUGAAACCCUGUAGGAGAGGGUCAGAGAGGGCCCUCCUGACCUCCUCCCACCCUGAAUGAUCCCAUAGGCCCCAGGCCCAUCUGUGCAGUGUCUGGUGGGCCAGGAGGUCAGCUUCAUGCUGCUUAACAAAAUGUACUCUAGAGGAGGAAGGGAAAGGGAAGCCCAGACCUGGUCGAAGAUCGGGGUGAUUAAAGCAAGAGGAGUAAAAUAAAGAGUUGUUUCGCAUGGUCUAGAGACACCAGGCUGAGGUCAACUCUAAUGGGGUGAGAACGCCUUCCAAGCUGGGGGCUGGGGUGCUUUACUCACAUGGCAAAGGGCUUCUGGAGGUUGGGAAUGAAACCAUCCAAGAUGAAGCUCCCCUCAUCCACAAUGAAGGCUAGCUGGAUGCCCCUUGCCUGUAGGAGGGCUGAGAUCUUCUGAGCCCCCUUUACCCCUGAUACCUGCAGACAUUGAACCCAGAGCCACAGUCCUUCUCAGCCUGACCUCCAGAGGUAGCUCAUAGAGACCCAUUCAGCAUAGCUGGGGGCUCCAGAGCCUCCCCACCCAGGCUUCUUCCUGGGGGGCAGGGCCCUUGACAAUCCUGCCUCACAGAAUCCUGGAGUGUCAGAGCUGGAAGGGCCCAAUGCCCCUCAUUUCACAAGGGAAGAGACUGGGACCCAGAGCGUGAAGUGAUUUGCCCAGGGUCAAAGCAAGUGGCAUCACUGGAAAUAAAACACAUUCGUUGAUCUCCCUGUUAUUUCUCUUCCCAUCACACCAGUCCUUCUCUAGGCGUAUCUGAUGGAUUACGUGCCUGCCUCAGGUAUUACCAGGGAGUCUGUUAAAAAUUCAGAUCUAUGCAUAUCACUAAGUGAAAGAAGCUAAUCUGAAAAGACUAUAUACUGUAUAAUUCCAACUAUAUAACAUUCUAGAAAAGACAAAAUUACAGGGACAGUAAAAAGAGCAGUGGUUGCCAGGGUUUGGGGGAAGGAGAGAGGGAUGAAUUGGCAGAACACAGAGGCUUCUUAGGCCAGUGAAAAUAUGUAUGACACCAUAAUGAUACCAUAUAUGUUAUUACACAUUUGUCCAAACCCAUAGAAUGUACAACACCAAGAGUGAACCCUAAUGUAAACUAUAGCUUUGGGUGAUUAUGAUGUGUAGGUUCAUCAUUUGUAACUAACAUACCACUCUGGUGGGGGAUGUUGAUAUUGGCAGAGGCUGUGCAUUCGUGCAAAUAAGGGAAAUCUUUGUAUCUUCUCAUUUCUGCUGUGAACCUAAAACUGCUCUUAAGAAAAAAAGUCUUGGGCUUCCCUGGUGGCGCAGUGGUUGAGGGUCCGCCUGCCGAUGCAGGGGGUGUGGGUUUUUGUCCCGGUCCGGGAGGAUCCCACAUGCCGUGGAGCGGCUGGGCCCGUGGGCCGUGGCCACUGGGCCUGCGUGGCGGGAGAGGCUGCAGUGGUGGGGGGCCCGCGUACCACAAAAAA